UACAGAGGUCUCAAGCGUUGUUCGGAUUCAUUGGGCGUAAAGGGUGCGUAGGCGGCGCCGUAAGUCAGGUGUGAAAUUUCGGAGCUUAACUCCGAAACUGCAUUUGAUACUACGGUGCUUGAGGACUGGAGAGGAGACUGGAAUUUACGGUGUAGCAGUGAAAUGCGUAGAGAUCGUAAGGAAGACCAGUGGCGAAGGCGGGUCUCUGGACAGUUCCUGACACUGAGGCACGAAGGCCAGGGGAGCAAACGGG
rnacentral:rRNA from 1 species